rnacentral:rRNA from 1 species
GCCAGGGAAUUACGAGCCCAAGCUUAAAACCCAAAGGACCUGACGGUACCCCAUCCCCCUAGAGGAGCCUGUUCUAUAAUCGAUAAUCCCCGAUACACCUCACCCCCUCUUGAAUUUUCAGCCUGUAUACCUCCGUCGCAAGCCUACCAUGUGAAUGCAAACUCAGUAAGCCUAAAGACCACCAUACAUACGUCAGGUCAAGGUGCAGCCCAUGAGGCGGGAAGAAAUGGGCUACAAUUUCUAAGUUAGAACAAACGGAAGACUGCAUGCAACACAGUCACAAGGCGGAUUUAGCAGUAAAAAGAAACCAGAGAGUUCUUUUUAACCCGGCCCUGGGGUGUGUACACACCGCCCGUCACCCUCUUCAAUUAC